GGGGGGGGGGGGGUGGGGGGGGGGUGGAUCAUAAUGAAAGAAGAGAAUGGAGAGAGAUUGAAAGGAUAGUCAUUAGGGAUGUCCCUCCCUACUGAGGCUACAUCUUAGGAGAUUCUGCAGUAAGGCUGUCAAAAGUGCCAUGAAAUUGAGUUUGAAUAUUAGCUUUUGUAAUUAGUUAGAGUUCGAAUAUAUUCGAAUAUCAUUUGCCUAUAAUUCACAAAAAAUAAGCUGCUUAUUGUUGGGCGCAAUAUGCACGUGACGCUCCCUCUAAAGUGGCCCAGGCGUUAUUUUCCACAAGCGGGCAGUAGAAUAGAGGACAUCGGUGAACUUUAAUACUAGGUUACUACAUCUGGGGCAUCAUUUAUAAAACGUAUUUUAGAUCAACUGUGUGGCGCGUGCGUAGAAAAUCCAGUCCAGGGCAGAACGUUUUUUUGUUGGGUGGAUUUCCCAGGAUUUCCAACCAAGUACUUGAUGCUGGCGCAAGAGAGUGAUUCUUAAGACAGAGAAGAGGAUUAUGAUGGAGCUGAUUGCAUAGAGUAGUGGAUCCCCAACUUUCUCAGCCAGUUACUCAUAAAAUGAGUAAAUGCAUUCAUUGUGACCCUCCCCUUAUGAAAGUUUUUGUUCAAUCGGACAUUAUGUUCAAAUGUGUUCAAAAAUGUUGGAAGUAAUAUGUUGAUGUAGCUAGUGCGUUGUUUAAUUUUACUGUUGAGAAUGUCAGUUGUAAUUCAAAAGUGUAUAUACACUUAGUAACAGUUUAACAGUCCAUCUUGUGACCAACUGUAGCCCCUCCCAGAAAUCACCAAUAGUUACAUUAUUUUUGUGAACUGGUGUGGAACAGAUGAUAGCAGCGUGACAGCAUAGCCUGAUGCUGAUAGUUAGCAUUUAUAGCAUCUAUUUUCAACACCUGACAUGCCUAAUUGCAAGCCUUUAUGCUAUCUUUGACAAAGUUUACCAGCUUUUAAACAAUAAGAUGAAGUGAGAGAAUCCAUCCAUCUAUCCAUCCAUUAUCUAUACCCGGUUAUCCUGGACAGGGUCAUGGGGGGUGCUGGAGCCGAUCCUAGCAUGCACUGGGUGAGAGGCAGGAAUACACCCAGGACAGGUCGCCAAUCUAUUGCAGGGCGUGAGACAGAAUUAGUACCCAAUUUAGAUUUUCUGUAAAUUGCAAUCAAAGCAUUUAGCCUCAAAUGGAAUUGGCACAGAGAGGGUUAACUACUGUACGAGAUGUGGUUUAUUAACAUUUUGCUUAGAUAGUAUCAACAGCUCUGUAAUAAUCUCUGCUGGGGAGUAUUUUAUUGGCCACGCCAUUCAUCAGACCUUUUAUGCCUACCCAUACACAAUUUAGUCUGAUAGCACUCUGUAUACUGUGUGCUGUUUCCAUACAAAACAAUAAAGCACCGCCAUUGUGCAAUGCUAUUUGACUUGCUCCAGUUCAUUACUGAAUAAAUGAAUAAAUGUCAUUUUUGACUAUAUGGAAAUUAUUCAACAAACGUGGUGAGAAUGCUUUUCAUGAACUGCACAUGAAGGUUUUUUGUUUUACAUAAUGCCUUCAGAGUGAAUUAUACGCAUUGCACAUUAUUUGUUAUUUGAAUAAAUAUUAACUUGUUUGAAAA